UAUGGUAAUGAGCAUGAGGACUGAUAGGACUGGAACAAAUCAGCUGUGCAUGAACACCCUGGUCUUUGACCACAGACGUGCACUGACCAGCGGCAACAGCAGGGAGUCCAUAACAUGCAGACAUCUCCUGGCUGAAAUCUUGGCAAGUGGAAAUGCAGAGAGAUUACUGAGGUUCUCACUCAUAAUGGCUCACCCGCAAAGCUCAGAAAACAUCCGAAGGGAUCUAGGUAUUAGGUGCAAUUUCAACAUGGGGAGUUCUGGACUUCCAGAGAGAGCAAGGAACCAGUACUACAUGGAUGGCUUUGUGCACAUGGUGAACGAAUAUGUGGAAAGGAGACUCAUUGACCAAAACCAAAGAGAGCGUCUAAUGAAUUGGGUGCAAGAAAAUCAAUUUCUCAAUAGGAAUACACAAGAGUAUAAAGAAAUAAUUAACUCAAUAGAGAAAGAUGCCAAAAUUGUACAUGAUGAGUUGUAGUGUUCAAGGGGUGAUGAAGAGUCCAUCUACAGUCAGUAGUAGUGCAAGCACUGGUUUAUAUGGACAGAGAGCAAGCAAUAAUGUGUAUAACUGUGUUGCUUUACAUUAAAACAUACAUUUCUGCUGUUAAUUUUUACUUAAUUACCAUUUGAAUCAUUGAAAGAGUAGGCCAGCGAAGAACUCUGUGUUAGAGGGGUCUUUAUUUAUUGUAGAUCAGCGGAACUCUUUAGGCUUGCCUUAGAUUACAAGGAUCAACAUGCAGAAGCACCAAAAUAUUGACAAGUCUAAUUUCUGAUGUGAAAAAAAAAACCUAGGUCUACAAACAGAUGAAUUCAUGUAUUUUAGCAUACGCAAUUCUUUUCGGCAAAAAGUUCUAAAUUUGGGUGCUACAUUUUAAAACUCUGAACAAAUUCUGAUCACAGAUUAAGCUUAACUACACUGCCAUUAACAUUUUAUAGAUUCUUUCCCAAAUUUUCAAUGUCUGUUCCAUGCAAUAACAUUGAUAUCAUGAUUAAAGGUGUUGACCGAUAAAGAAAAUGUAGCAUUUCUCUAACAAAAGUGUUUGUAAUUAUUAUAAUCAUUGUGGUCUUGAUCCUUUCUUGCAAUAUACAAACAUUUAUCCAGUACAGAGCUAUGGUCUCACUGAACUGGACCUGUGGAUGUUAGCUAUGGUCUCACUGAACUGGACCUGUGGAUGUUAGCUAUGGUCUCACUGAACUGGAGCUGUGGAUGUUAGCUAUGGUCUCACUGAACUGGAGCUGUGGAUGUUAGCUAUGGUCUCACUGAACUGGAGCUGUGGAUGUUAGCUAUGGUCUCACUGAACUAGACCUGUGGAUGUUAGCUAUGGUCUCACUGAACUGGACCUGUGGAUAUUAGCUAUGGUCUCACUGAAUUGGACCUGUGGAUAUUAGCUAUGGUCUCACUGAACUGGAGCUGUGGAUGUUAGCUAUGGUCUCACUGAACUGGACCUGUGGAUGUUAGCUAUGGUCUCACUGAACUGGACCUGUGUAUGUUAGCUAUGGUCUCACUGAACUGGACCUGUGUAUGUUAGCUAUGGUCUCACUGAAUUGGACCUGUGGAUAUUAGCUAUGGUCUCACUGAACUGGAGCUGUGGAUGUUAGCUAUGGUCUCACUGAACUGGACCUGUAGAUGUCUCACUGAACUGGACCUGUGGAUGUUAGCUAUGGUCUCACUGAAUUGGACCUGUGGAUAUUAGCUAUGGUCUCACUGAACUGGACCUGUGGAUGUUAGCUAUGGUCUCACUGAACUGGACCUGUAGAUGUCUCACUGAACUGGACCUGUGGAUGUUAGCUAUGGUCUCACUGAACUGGAGCUGUGGAU